CUAAUUGGGUCUCCAGGAAGAUUUGGUCCGUGACCCACUAAUUGGAGUCCCUUGGCCUAAUAGGAAUAUCUCAGUCUCUUUAUAUUUUAGAACUUACUAGUAGAAAUGUACACAUGAGUCACUGGAGAUCUUAUUAAAAUGCAAAUUCUGAUUCAGUGGGUUUGGGGUGGGGCCUGAAUAUUCUGCCUGUCUCUCAGACGCCCAGGUGCUGCUGCUGCUGCUGCUGGUCUGAGCCACACCUUGAGUAGCAAAGUAGUAGGGGAUGAUAUGGGGCCAACUGCUAUCCCAUGUGACACAUGUGGAAACUGAACUAAACAGAGCUGAGCUGUUAGGUAACAGAGCAGGGAUUAGGUCUGAUUCUAACAGCUGUGUUCUCAGCUACGAUGUUGUACUGCCAACCUGGAGAAAGUGAUCUUGAAGGUCCCUUAGUUCAUUCUGUGGAGGGUGACUGAGAUCCUAAGGUUAUGGGAGAGGAGGGGGUCAUCAUCAGCAAGUGGGUUUUAUGGCAGAUGUAGGGGGGCCCUCCCCAUAUCUCUUCUAGUUUACCAUGUAAGUGCACACCAGCAGCUUUUCCAACAGCCACCCCUGUGUCUUUCUGCCUGAGGGCAUCACUUGCCACUGGCACCUGCUUUGCCACCCUGCAGCAGACCUGCAGUGCUGGGGGAUUAACGCAUCCAGGGCACAGCUCUCAAUCAGUGCCUGAUAAACAGCCCCACUCCCACUCCCCUCGCCCAGUAGGCAUGCUGCACUCUGGCUCUCAGGGCCCCCCAGCAGCACUGAGCUCCUCUUGUCCACCGUGGUCACUUGCUCAAUAACACCUCCUUUCCUGCCUCCCUUCCUCAUGCCCCUACCAGUGCUUCCUGGGACCACUUCCGAUGUAACCCACUUGCACUCAAAUUCUUGUCUUGGGGUCUGCUGUCGGAGAACCCAAACGAAAAUUGGCCUCUGGUAUAGCAGGUUGAGAGGUAGUAAAACAUGGUGGUUGGGGACAUAGGCUUUGUAGCCAAUGUCUGGGCUCAGCUCUGAUUCUGUUGUUUCCUAGGGCAAGUGAUUUAACUAUUCUGUACCUGUGUUUCAUCAUCUGUAAAGAAGGUGUUCUAUAGGGUGAUCUGGAGGAUUAAAUGUGACACAUAAAGUAAGCACUCGGUAAAUGUUUGCUGUUAUUUCUAAUAGUGUUCAAACAUAGAAGGAAGCGUGGUCCUGAGAACUGAGUAGACCCUGCUUUCAGCCUGUCCUGCCCGCCAGCUGAAGAUUCUUACUGUAAUGAGCAUGAAGAUGAACCACCCUAGAUAUCCUGAGCCUUAUCAGAGACAACACCCAACAUUCAGGCUCACGGAACACCAAGUGAAAGAAGAAAGACAAAGCUGAAGGACCAAAUGCAGGUCAGCAGGUGCCAGUGAGAAAAUGAGAAAAAGAAAGAAAAGCUGCUCACUCCACCGUGGCCGACCUCGAACGUGCUGGUGAGGCUGAAGAUCAUGAGACUAAUCGGAGGGCUUAUGACAUGGCAGGCACUGUGCCCAGCGCUUUUUGUACACCGUAUCUCGUUACUUCUGAGACUCCAUCGAAGAUGAGGUGCAACAUUAUUUUGAGCCCCUGAGAAAGGAAAAAGCUACUGAGCAAAAAUGGACAUCAUGUAGUCCCAAGUUUCUAGGGAAGGAAUUAUAACAAACAUCUUACAAGAAAAUACGUAAAUAUGUAUUAUAUGCAUGAAAAGGACUGGAGAGAAACAUCGCAAAAUACUACCCUGUUCUCUCUGAGGGGCAGAACUGGGAAAUUUAUAUCCAUUUCCUGUACACAUUUCUUUUGAGGAUUUCUACAGGCUCUGGAACAUUUCUGUUCAGAAAGGAAAACACAAACUGUGAGGGUCCAUUAUAUUGAGCUACAUUUAGAAACAAUCAACUUCUAAAGAUAAGUUUAUUUCUUGUAUAUGACCUGGAAUUCUUCCCGUCUGAAAACAGGUGCAGAAAUGGCUACCUCCAAGUGAGUUGCAUAAACAUAUUUCUUGAGGGUGUUUUUCUUCCCUCUCAGAUACUUGUUUUUAUUCAAGAUUGUUACAUGGUCAAUGAAAUGCUAACUUCUAUUCCAUUCUUUGCUGGAAGGAAGUGCUUAUUCAUUAUUUGGAAAGAAAAGGAAAGAACCCACAGCCGCCCAACUGGUUAAACUAACCACUUUCUGUUUUCAACAUCAUCUGCCAAAAAUAAUGUCUGGCAUUAUGAGGGGGAGAAAAACAAAUACAGUUGGAGAUUUGAGAAAAAUCAAUUCAUUUUAGCAUUAUGUUACUUUUAUGAAGGAAAAUAAAAAAAACCCAAAGAAGUGGUUGUGAAUCACAACCCCAGGUAUUAAAAUAUGAAAUGUUUGCUUAUCUUGGUUCCUGAAUUCUGCCUUAGCCAAAAGUUAGUUUUCCUGGAAGAUAUAUAAAGACCCUUGGAUUUCUAGAAAACUCUUUAGUGAAUGUGUCAUUAUCCUUAAAAGGACUCUGAUGGUUCUCUAAAUGUUACAGCUACUUCCCUAAAUUAGUUUUUAUUUUUGUGAGAACAUAGUUUAUACAUUAAAAAGAAGUGCUUUCAAAUUC